GGAAGCUUAGCUCAGCUGGUUCAGAGCGUCUGCCUUACAAGCAGAGGGUCGGGGGUUCGAAUCCCUCAGCUUCCACCA
rnacentral:tRNA from 2 species